CACGCAGUCAGCAAGGAGGUCCGAUGCAAAAUCAGCAAGCAUGGCCUGGAAAUCCGCAACAGAAUUCUUCGGAACCUAUGCAAGGAGAUGGUAGAAGUUAUGGUGCUCAUCAAAAUUAUCAGCCUCAACAAAAUUAUCCACCACGGCAAAAUUAUCAACCUCAGCAAAAUUAUGCUCCUCCGCAAAAUUACCCCCCUCAGCAAAAGUACCCCCCUCCGCAAAAUUAUCCACCUCAACAAAAUUUUGGCCCUCCAGGACAAGGACAAAGAGAGGGGCCCAUGCUAGUGAACAAUAGAGAUAAUGCGGCUGGUGGAAGAGACUCUUAUCAGGCAGAAGGAAGAGGUCCAAUGCCUUCACAUCAGGGCAAUUACAACCAAGCG
rnacentral:lncRNA from 1 species